ACCUGUCGAAGUUUCGCGACAGAACCGGCACGACACAUCGCGACGUAAAAAGUGAAUUUACGUUGGAGCGAUAUUUAGCCUUAGCGAUCUAAACGAGAAUCGAAGAUCCUGUUGUUAGUAGCGAAACGACGAAAAGUUAGGCGAGAACGGACGUCAAACAAAGAAGUUAUGAAUUUAUAACGAAGUUUUUCUGUCGCGGCCUAUUAAAAAUAAAUAAUAAAAAUAAAGUCGAAAUUAGCCGACGGAGUCUAAACGAAAGUUGUAGAGCGUAGUCUCACCUUUGUGUGGAUAUAAAGAAUGUUGAAAACGGAGUUCGUAUGAAGAAGAUAUGAAUUUCCAAAGUUUAUUAAAUAAAUUUUAUUUAUUUUUAAUCUUUUAAUCGGAAGCAUUAUCCGAAGGAGUCACCGGUCUGAUCCGAGGUACGCGCCGCGUACUCGAGUACGCCCCGCGUACUCCGAAGGUGUCGACAUCUCAGCAAGUGGCUUCGGAUACGUAAGCAGUGACGUUUCUCGGACCAGUACGCCCCGCGUACGUGCGAGACUCAGCCCCUAUAAAAGGCUUGCGAGGGCAGCCGAGAGUUUUGUUCAUUUCUUCUCUUCUUUCUCCCGUUUUGCAUCGUUUUGCGUGCCAGAAAUACCCCGAAGCCCCGGUAUUAUUCUCUAGCCCCGAGGCAAGUCCCGAGAUCCCGAAGAUCCCGAGAAGUGCGGUUCCCGAGUCGAAGCUCUGCCCGCGAGAAGUUCGAUUUUUGUAGAGAUCUUCCAGAUCUGCUGAGGAUUUCUACUUCUGCAAGUCGUAGUGCUGUCCGAUCAUCUUCUGAUCAAGUGAGUGUAUACUACCUUUCAUAAACACAAUAAUAAUACGAGUUUGGUUUGAGUGUAUUAAGAGUAUUGUUGUUUAUAAGUGUGAAUGUGUAGUUAUUUUCUUCUAACGCAUAAUUAUUAAGUAUUUUCGUUGAAAUACGUGCUACGUGGAUAAUAUAAAGUUGUUUAUAUGGAUGGAUGUAUAGUCCCUUUCAUAAACACGGGUAUAAUACAAGUAUUGUUUGAAUGUAUUAAGUGUACGUUUGGCAGAGUGUAUGGUUACUUUCUUCUAACACAUAAAUAUGAAGUAUUUGGUAUAAAAUACGUGCUAUGUGUUUAUAUAUUGUUGUUUAUUUGAGAUGAGUAUGGCAUGAAUGUUUUAUAUAGUUUUAAAAUGAGAUAAACUGUAUGUGUAUUCUAGAUCUACAAAUAUGUUGGGUAGAACAUGGGUAGAUGAGAUAGUUGGUAUGUGAUGAAAUGAUGAGGUAUGAAAGAUGAUUAAGAAUGAUAUUGGUAGAUGCACCAAUUAAAGAAUGUCAUAAGACUAGCAGAUGUGCUGUAGAAUAAUAUCGGUAGAUGCACCAAGUAGUGAAUGUCGUAAUCCUAGCAGAUGCGCUUAUAGGAUAAUGUCGGCAGAUGCGCCAAAUAGAGAUUGUCAUAAUAAAAGCAGAUGCGCUUAUAGAGUGAUCCUAGCAGAUGCGCUUAUAGGAUAUUGUUGGCAGAUGCGCCAAAUAAAGAUUGUCAUAAUAAUAGCGGAUGCGCUUAUAGGGUAAUCUUGGCAGAUGCGCUUAUAAGAUAAUGUCGGCGGAUGCGCCUAAAAGAGAAUGUCAUAAACCUGGCAAUCGCGCCUCAUAGUGUAUGACGUAAUCCUGGCAGAGGCGCUUAAAGGAUAAUGUUGGCAGAUGCGCCUUAUGUAGCAAUGGAAGUUUGUGUAAAUCCCUUAGGUCAAUCCUUAGGAAUGAAGGAAUGACGAGUAGUUGAAUUCCUAGGGUAAAAUCCUAAGAAACAUAAUAGGGAUGAAUAAUUGAGUUGAUUGUUUGAUGGUUGAAUAUAAUAAUUGUAUUAUUGUGGGUUGAAAACCCUAUAUGCUCACCAGGCUCCCAAGCCUGACCCACUCAGUUUUCUUUGCAUUACAGGUAAUGGCACAAGAGUAUAAGUUGGUGGACUUGACGAGAGAUUUUGGAUUAUAGGCCAGUAGUUAUGAAUAACUGUUGUAAGGUCUAUUUAUUAUUGUUUAUGCUUUUGGUCUGUAUCGGAACAUGACAUCCCGAGGUUUUAUUAUUUAAUGAAAAUACAUUCUCUUUGAGAAACGUUUUAAAAAAUGGUUAUCAUAUUUUAUUUUGGGAACAAAUUCCGCAACCGUUUUCUUUAAACGAUCACUCUGAUUUAUAAAACAAAGCAUAAACAAAUCGGUCUUUUCUGGCCGUGAAAAUGGGGAUGUCACAGUUGGUAUCAGAGCAUUAGUUUAAGCGAACUAGGAAUUUGUAGGAAAUUUCUAGACUUAAACUUAGAAUGCUAAGUAAUGAUUGUGAGGAGUGUGUCUAAAAUAUGUUAGGUAGUACACCUAAAUUGACACAAGCACUAGUUCAUUUUAGGAAUGAUGCCUAAAAUGCUUUUAUGUGCUAAAUGUUUUGUGUGAUAGCUAUAUUGAUGCUAUUAUUUGUUCGGAUCUAUGGUCUAUUGCCGACCAGAUCUGGAAACCUUAUGUGUUUAGGAUUCUAAGCGUACGUCUACGAUAUUAGAACUAGCAUGUAAACGUUUCGGAGUGAUAAGGAUGAUUUGAAUAUCUAUCGUGAAUAAGGAUCUAAUUUCACCUUAUUGGGUGUGUAGAUCAAAAAUGGUGAGAACAAGAAGUGGGGUUGGAAAUGCUGAUGAAAACAGGAAUCAACCACCUGUGGUUGAGCAAGCACCUGUUGUAGCAGCAGCACCAGAGCCGAUGACAAUGGCUGGGGUGCAAGCGAUGAUACAGAUGAUGUUGGAUCGCCAAAUGGAGGAGACAAGGCGAUUACUCCAACAGAAUCGGGAGGAAGUGUCAUUUCAAGUGGAAGAGCCUGAAGUGAAUGGAGGGCAUUCAGAGGGAGGUAACUACAGUGGGACGGUUGGACGAGCAAAACCCCUAGUAGUAGAAAGGAAUGACCCAGAGAGGGAAAAAAACAGGGAUGGGCGUAUGUAUAAAAAUUUCUUGGGCGCCAAACCGCCAAGUCUUUCUGGAAGCCCAAAGCCUGUUGAGAUUAUGGACUGGAUCUCCGAAAUGGAGAUGGUGUUUGAGAGUUGCGACUGUAGCAACAAACAGAAGACUGUCUUUGCAGUUAGACAACUAAAGACCGGAGUCUUGAGCUGGUGGAAGUUACUGGCAGAUAUGAUGCCUCGAGGGGAAGCCCUGAAGAUGUCUUGGGAAUCAUUCCUGGAGCAGUUAAAGAUGCAGUACUGCUCAGAGAUAGAUCUGAUUGAUCUGAACAAUGAAUUCCAGAACAUGAAGAAAGGUAAAUUGAGCAUUGAUGAUUAUGCUACUACAUUUACCGAAAAGAUGAAGUUAUUUCCAUACUUAGUGCCAUCUGAACUCUCAAAAAUUGAGAGGUUCGCAAAUGGACUGCCUGCCGACUUUGGCCCAACGGUCAAGAUGGCAACUACUUUGAAGACAGCAGUCCGAGCAGCUAAAAAUGUGGAGACCCAGUUAAAGGAAAGGGGUCUGGAGAGAAACGAGGUGGGUGAGAAAAGAAAGAUGGAAGGAUCUUCAAGGUCCGAUGAGAAGAGAAAAUUUUCGAAGUAUGAUUCGAAGAAGCUCGAGGGAGGAGCACAAUGGUGUGACAAGUGCAAAAGGAAGCACAUUGGUGAAUGCUCUAAAGAAAUGACCUGCUUUAAAUGCGGGAAGACUGGUCAUUACGCCAGCAAAUGCCCAACCAAAAGAGAAGUCUGCUUUAAGUGUGGCGAAGAAGGGCACUUCAAGCAAAACUGCCCAAGAAGAGAAGAGGCUAUAAGGCCAAAUGCACCACCAAAGCCAAAAGCAUUCCACAUGAUCCUUGAUGAAGCAGAUGGCAAUGCAAGGAAUCAGGAAUGAGGAUUUUAUAUCCAAAGAUCAAGUUAUAAAGUAGCGAUAUGAAAAGUAACAUGUGGUGUAGCCUACUAGAGGCGUAGUAUAGGGUGAACUUGAACCUUUGUGUAAUCGUUUCAAGAAAUAAUAUAAACCCUAGUUUUGCUAUCUGAUGUGUUGAAUGAUUAUGUGAUUUUCUUGUAUGGUGACUUGGUCGACUGCGGGACAAUACUUGGGACGAGUAUGAGUAGGUGUGAAAGGUAGUAGAUGCAUAUACUACCGGAAGCACAGGACUCGCACUUGGAUCAGGGAAAGUCACAAGGUUACCAAGAAGCUAGUGAUCGAUUCCAUUUUAUUCUGGUAUGUCAUUACCAUUGUUUCGGUAAUGACUAGUAAGGUGGUUCUUGUUCCGACCCUAGUGGUCAUGUUUAAAUUGAGUCCGACUACGAGGAGUUUGUUCCAUGGUUCAUGGAACCAAGUUAGAUGUAACAUCUGAAUUAAGUCAGAAGGUUGAAGUUAAUGCGAUUGAUAGUGUCGCGCUCGUUGUUAAAAGAAGUUCGCAUAUAGAAAUGCUACAUGCUGAAAUGUGAUUAAAUCACACUAGAAUAUGAAGGAAGGAAUAUUCCAUUCUGGAAUUUAACUUUAUUAAAGACCGAGUCUAAGCGUCGCAUCGUGCGAUGAGAGCUCAUUAGAACACGACCCAUCGGUUUGUUACAAUAGAUAAAGGAAAGUAUUUAUCCUGAGAAGAAGAAGGAGUCCACAAUGAGAACUUAUUUGGUAACUUGAAGGUUACGAUUGAAAGUACAACAUAGUACGAUAAGCAGAUGCAAGAUUUGGCAUCUUCUGCGGUCAAGAAAGCCAUAGAGUUAAAUACUCUUUCGAGGAAACAUAGAAUUUACGGUUAUUACCUAGGAUGAAGAGAUAACGUGUAGAAUCAUUAUGCAAGUCCUAUUUCGUUGAUGAUUCCGGGCGUGUUCAUCCUAAGGGGGAGAUAAUUGUAACGCCCGUAGAUCAGGGCUAGUCAAUUUAGAGGCGAUAGACGUCAAAAAUGGCUUUUUGAAGGAAGAUUAUCUAGAAGGAUUAAUCUUAACCCAGUUGUAGUAUAUGUCACAAGGUUUCCGUGCAUAUAAAGAACGCCAAAAUCCGAGUUAUAACGAAGAAGUUAUGACCUGUCGAAGUUUCGCGACAGAACCGGCACGACACAGUGUGACGUAAAAAGUGAAUUUACGUUGGAGCGAUAUUUAGCCUUAGCGAUCUAAACGAGAAUCGAAUAUCCUUUUGUUAGUAGCGAAACAACGAAAAGUUAGGCAAGAACGGACGUCAAACGAAGAAGUUAUGAAUUUAUAACGAAGUUUUUCUGUCGCGGCCUAUUAAAAAUAAAUAAUAAAAAUAAAGUCGAAAUUAGCCGACGGAGUCUAAACGAAAGUUGUAGAGCGUAGUCUCACCUUCGUGUGGAUAUAAAGAACGUCGAAAACGGAGUUCGUAUGAAGAAGAUAUGAAUUUCCGAAGUUUAUUAAAUAAUUUGUAUUUAUUUUUAAUCUUUAAU
rnacentral:lncRNA from 1 species